AGUAACUGUCCCCCAUGGAAUUCUGUGUGGUAGAGGGAGGCAUUUUUUAGUAGAGUUUCCUGAAAUCUUAGUGAGUGCUUCAGAAGAGAUGGAAAACCAUCCUUGGAAAUGAUCCCAUGAGAGUAUUUUUUCCAUUUAAUUAAUACAGCUUGCCAUGCAGUUUUCAUCGGUCUCAAGAAGCCUACAUCCAACAACUGGAGAAGCCGAAUCCACUCAUUAUGAAGAAAUGUGGUUAAGGUUCAUUUAGGUAUAGCCCAAAUGCUCAGCUUUAUUUAUUAUAUACUGAACAUUCUGCUAGGAACGGAUCCAUCUACUUCUGGGGUGCACAUAACAAGCAAACAAAAAUGUAGUACACAAGUAAAUGAAGAGGGACUAUUCUACUCUCUGAACAUACUAUCUCAAUCAAAGUGACUCCAGUGACCAUGACUUCUCUCAUGCGUCCGACGAUGAUCCAGCUUGCAAUCCUCAAGAUUAAAGAUCCUCUUUGGGCUUAAAUGUGGGUGAUGAUGCCUCCUAUUCUGAUGAGACUCAUGAUAGCAUAUGUAACUCUGAUAAUUGUAUUGGCACUGAUGAAAAUUAUAAGCCAGUUUGGAAUCCAA